rnacentral:rRNA from 1 species
GUCCUCUUGAUUAUGAUUUGAGGUUUGACCUGCUCUAUGAGUAUUUAAAUGGCCGCAGUAUUUUGACUGUGCUAAGGUAGCAUAAUAAUUAGUUUCUUAAUUGGAAGCUUGGAUGAAUGGUUUGAUGAGAAAAUAACUGUCAUUUAAUAAUAAAUUGAAUUUUAUCUUUAAGUUAAAAAGCUUAAAUGAAUUUGUGGGACGAGAAGACCCUUUAGAAUUUUAUAUUUAUUAUUAUUACUUAAAUUUAGGAUUAAUUUAUUAAUGUGUAAUAAAUAUUUAAUUGGGGUGAUUGAAAAAUUUGAAUAACUUUUUUUAUUAAAUAACAAUUUUUUUUUGAACUGAUGAUCCGUUUUAUCGAUUAUAAGAAAUAAUUACCUAAGGGAUAACAGCGUAAUAUUUUUAAAGAGUUCUAAUCGAAAAAAAUGAUUGCGACCUCGAUGUUGGAUUAGAAUAUCUAAUAGGUGCAGAAGCUUAUUUAGUGGGUCUGUUCGACCUUUAAAAUUCUACA